AGUGAACGCUGGCGGUAGGCCUAACACAUGCAAGUCGAACGGCAGCACAGUAAGAGCUUGCUCUUACGGGUGGCGAGUGGCGGACGGGUGAGGAAUACAUCGGAAUCUACUUUUUCGUGGGGGAUAACGUAGGGAAACUUACGCUAAUACCGCAUACGACCUACGGGUGAAAGCAGGGGAUCUUCGGACCUUGCGCGAUUGAAUGAGCCGAUGUCGGAUUAGCUAGUUGGCGGGGUAAAGGCCCACCAAGGCGACGAUCCGUAGCUGGUCUGAGAGGAUGAUCGGCAACACUGGAAAUGAGACACGGUACAGAAUCCGACGGGAGGCAGCAGUGGGGAAUCUUGAGCAAUGGGCGAAAGCCUGAAGGAGCAAUGCCGCGUGAGUGAAGAAGGCAUUCGGAUCGUAAAACCCUGUUGUUAGAGAAGAAAAUAAGCAGGUGAAAACGUCACCGUCCUGACGGUACCUAAAGAGAAAGACCCGGCUAACUACGUG
rnacentral:rRNA from 1 species